ensembl:lncRNA
AGCUGAAUAUGUACAAGAGGUGGCACAGCCCUGUGUUUGUGACUGGACCAGUAUCACACUCUUUGCCUGCUACAGCACUAGCCCCAUACCAGCUCUUCCAGCUCCAGCUGCCAUACAUUAAACAUAUGUCAGGGAUCUCACUGGACCCACAAUCCUCUCAAAGCCCCACUGCCAGCAAAUCAAAAGCACCGUUCUACCAGGUACUUCAGAGUGGAAAGGAAGGACAGCGAUGUUAAGCCUGUGGGAAUUGAAUGCAAGUAAAAUUCCCUCUCAGAGAACUGCACUGCCACAUUUUCAGACCACGGAAUGCCAACAAGGCUGAAAUGGCAAAUGAGCAUGAACAAAGUUUAGCAACAGAAGACUUGCACAACAUUGGGACAAAAAGUGGACAAAUACUAAUUUUAGAGGACAACUACGGGGAACCAUAUAGUUGCAAUAGCACGCACCUGCAAAACGUGCAAAAAAGCUCAUAAGACAAGAAAAUUAAUUACAAGGAGAACAGAGAGAAGAACACGUUUGUUGAAUAGAGAAAGAAUCUAGAAACCUUAACACAUCAAGAUUGAGGCUUAAUUAGUACAGCAGAAAGUAAUUAAAAGACUAAAUGGACACUUCCUCUAGACUGGGCUCUAGCCUGUAUGGGUGAACAGAGUGCGUAAGUGCAACACAGAGUGUUGAAGUCUCAGAGAAAGUCUGCAGGAAAAGGGAAGUUAAGAACAGUUAUCUCCUUCCAAGAAACUAUAAUAAAAUCAUAGACACAAACUAUCCCAGUAGAGAGGAAUAAAGGAGAGUAGUAGGGUUUUAACAUCACUAAAUUACGAGCUCUUUACUGCUAUCAAGACAGGGAAUAAAAAGCCCAAAGAAAAUAGCAAGGUAUCAGAACAUAUGAUGAGGAGUACAAGAAUAGUACAAACAUGAAGGGGCAAAAUCAUUAUGCUCAUAGCACAAAACUAACGAGGGAUAUCAAGAAUAAUAAGAUACCAUUCUAUUAGUACAUUAGUUAGAUGAAGAAAAAUGUGGAUCUGUAAAUCAAUGGAGAGGAAGAUCAACUGACAGAUGACGCAAGUUGGCUGAAGUGCUUAACAUCCUUUUUAUGUCACCUUUCAUUCAAAAUUUCCCGUGAAGAGACAUGGAUAAUUCACAUAAUACUCAUGAAGAGGUAUAUGGUCACAGUCUUACUCCAAAACAGCAAAACAGAUUAGAGAGUACUUAGCAAAAUUAGAUGUUUUUCAAGCCAUUUGGUCCUGAUGAAUUUAAUCCCAGUAUAUCUAAAGAACUGUUUGAAACUGUCUUUGAGACUUUGUGGAAGACAGGUAAAGUCUGGACAAAUGAAUAUAGUGUCUACCAUGAAAAGCAAGAAAAAAAGGAAAGAACAAACGAGGGAAUUCUUGACCAGUCAUCUUGAGCUUAAUUUUCAGAAAAUUCUUGAACAAUGAAUCAGAACAGCUUGUGAGCACUUAACUAUAAAAGAUGAGUAGCAAUCAACAUUGAUUUGAAAACAAAUCAUGUCAACAACAACCUAAUUUCCUUCUACAACAGGAUAAGAAGCCUUGUGGAAAACAGCAAGUGUCAUGUAUCUUGACUUUAUUUUGGCCUUUUGACAGUUUUUUUGUAAUAUUCUUACAUGCAAACUCAGAGGAAAGCAAACAGUCUUAUCUUAGUAUCAUACAGAUAAAAAGCCACUUGGUUACAGAAGUCCAACCAUUAUUAAAAUAUAUAAAUAUUUAAUAUAAUAAAAAAAUAAAUAUAAUAUAUAAAAUAUAAAGACUACAACAACUGGGUUGUUGCCUUGGAGUUUUGUUUUUAUUAUUUGACUUUUUCAUUAAUAACAUAGAUGAUGGGAAAAAAAUACUGUUUACCGAACUUGCAGACAACUUGAAUCUGGAAAGGCACCAAAUGACUGAAUAAAAUUCAAAAUGUCCUUGGCAAAUACAAGUAAUGGUCUGGAGACAGUAGAGGAAAUUCAAGAGGAAUAUGGGUAAAGUACUGUACCUAGGCAGAAAUAAUUAAUGACAAAUACAAAAUGGCAUAUAACUGGGACAGCAGCAGCUCUUCAGAAAAGGAUAAGGUUAUGGUGAAUUAUAAAUCUGAUGCAAGUUUGUAAUAUCUUAGUGAAGCAAGGGGUCAUUCGUCAUUUUUGGCUUUAUCAAAGCAGACAUGUAGCCCAGAGGAUACAGGAAGUAAACUUCAACUCUACUCAGUUUUGAAAAGUUUCAAGAUGCAAAUUGUCCAAAUAGAAACAGCAGAGGAAUACUCACAAAAAAAAGCAUGAAUGAUAAUAAACAUAGAUAUCACAGAGUAGGAAAAAAAAUGCAAAAAAAUAACUACAUGUCAUGGUAACUUAACAAUGGUAAACCAUUGACACUACAUUACCCAAAUUUCCUGGGCAUAAAAAGCUGUUGCAGAGGAAAUAUGAAUAAUUGAAGAAGAAAGAAGUGAAGUAAACUGCACCAAGGAAGAUUUAGGUUAGGCAACAAGAAAGUCUUUCUGAUGUUAAGAAAAGUGAGGUACUAGAAUAGAUCACUUGAAGUAGUAUUCACAACAGUCUAGACAAAUAUUUAUCAGAAACAACAAAAUGUACAGUCUAUCCUCUUUUGGACAGGGAAGCCGACCACAUGUGUUCCUUAGGCUUUUUGUUUAUUCUUAAGGUUCUAGAACAGCUAAAAUCAUGGACAAGUAUUGAAAGAAUAAUCCUCCAAAAGAAAGACAGACAUGAGGGACAAGAACUACCAAGCAUUACAAAAUUAUCACAUAUCUUCGGAUUAUGAAAUUUCAGCCCAUAGAGCAAUUGCCUUCAUGCUUGAAUUUCAGAAAGAUAUGUAUUUGAACAAGUUCUCUAGGCCAGAAGUAAGUGGCAGAGAUUCUUACAAUCCUUUGAGAUAGCCUCAUUACACCAGGACUGUCAACCCCUUAGGUUUCAGCAUGCACUACAUUGCUUACAACUAAAUCCAUUGUGUUCAGAGACUACACAGAGUCUUUAGAAUAUAAGCCAGUACCUGCUAGGCCAUUCAGCUGGUCUGUUUCCAGCACCAAGUCACAGUAAAGUGGCAGCAGUAAAUUUAACCACCUACUGUCACUUGCUAUCAGGGGCAGAAAAAGGAAGAUAAGUUAGGAAACACCAUGAAAGGAGCAGCAAAGGUAGAAUGCUGAAAAGCAAUUCUACUGGGGGAUGCAUUACUUUGUUAAUAGUGUAUUCAUCAAAAGUAGGCUAUUGUAUUACAAAGGAAAAGCAGAAAAUCCAAUAAGGAGUGAGUCUCAACUAUAUUUUUAAUAUUUUCAAGACCUUUCAAAAGUCAAGAAUUUAUGGUACCAGUGCACUGGCAACAACAUCUCACAGUUCUGUGAUGAUCUCCAAGCAUGCACAAGUGGCAGCAGUCUGUAAUGUUGCUUUUCAUCCUUCUCUCCAUUCCCUCACUUCCCCAUGCUCCUAACACAGAUUGUAUUUAAAACCACCUUUACAGAAUUCACUUUCUGCGCCCUCCCAUCAAAGCCCACCCUGCAGUACUGUUCCCUGCUUCAUUCCCUCCCUGCUUUCCUCUCUUCCACAGAAGCAAGACCCAACCUCAGCCUUUCAGCUCUCCAUGCCACUCUCUCUACUCACCUUACCCAUGUUCCCUGGCCCAUGUUGUCUCAGGCCUUCUCCCCAGUUGUGAACAGAGACUAACAAUGUUUCAUGAGCAGAACAGGCUGUUUUACUAAGGCCACAUGACUUUCCUUAAGUGCUGUUGAGGUCACCCAGGCCAUUACUGAAGGGAAGACAUUUAUUGUGUGGUCACGUAAGAACCUCCACCUGGGCAGAGCUGGGAGACACUGGGUAUUUGAGCAGCUCAUGCACUCAACAGAUUAGUCCAAUCUUUAGCACGUAUCACAAAGGAGAACUACAGAGAUUUUUCUUCUGAAUCAGACUUCACAGCCUUCUGCCUGCCAAGAUUGCCUCAUCUGGCCCAAGGAAUAAGAAUUUACACAACAGCUCAUAUGGUACUUCCCACUACCUGGGCUGUAACUACAGAUGAUGCCUGCUAGCAGAGCCCCUUCUGCUCAGGGCUUGGAGACAUUAAGCCCUGUAGACAUUGCUAACACAAUGAUCUCUGCCUGCUUCCCAGAAUCACACGCAGAAGACACAGCUGGUCAGCAGGAUGGUUAGAUGCAUCAGGAACAUGGAGUCCUAUAGCUGUGCUGUGUUUGCCAGUGUGAAUUGCAAAGACUUGCAUCACUAGGAAGCAUAACAGAGACUGACCAAAUGAGUGAGACCCCGACAUAAUACGCAGUGCCUAGCAGAUGUGAAAGGUCUUCACAUGACAGAGCAAAGGCUCUAGCCUUCAAUUAAAUUCCAGUUGUUCAAUAGGGAGUUAUAAAAAUCUAUAAAAAUAUUUAUUCUAUCAUAUUAAUAGGUAAACUGACGUAAUAAAUACAUAAUAUUCCUUUGCUCAAGGAAACUCAGGAAGUUCACAAUUUUUCUUGAAUAACUAAUGCAGGCAUAGGUUAAAAAAAAGCUUAAUUCUCUCAGUGGCAGAACUGUUUGAGUAAUGGGAACAAGAUUAAGUCCCAACAUUUUCCAAACAAGUUGAACCAUUACCUAAACUUCUUAUGCAAACACUUCUUAUACAUUCCUACUCUUUCUAAAUGCACUACUUGUAAAUACAGGCAUAAGUAUAUGGGUUAGCACAUAUGUAAACACACAAACUAUUUUGCAUAUUUCUGUGAUGGCUGUAGCCAUUGUGAAGCCACUGGAACUCUCCUAAUGACUGGAGACACAUGUUCCCCAGAGAAUAAAACUGAGAUACCAAGAACUAAAUUCAUACUACAGUGAUUCAUGUUUCUGACUCCAUCCAGUUGCUCAGUGCUCUCUGCUUUUACAUUACUUUAAACUUCAAAUUUCCAAAUAUCUUUCACACUCAACAUUUCAGAUGAAUUAAGCUAUUUCUUUCAUGUGUGAACCAACCUGUAGAUCACAUGAUACCCACAGCAAAGUAACACUGAGAUCAAGAGCUUACUAAAAAAAGGAGAGAAAAAGAAAAAUAAAAAAAAGAAAUUUUACAUGGCUUGUAUGAAUAUCCAUUAUAAACAUCAAACAGAACUCCAAUUGAGUAGAAAACUUGUACAUACAUUGUUCAAAGACUUGGCAAAUUAUCUCAUGGCAGAGCAAGGUAGGAGCUUACUCCAUGGACAGUUUUUUCCAUACUUGUUCAAUAGAAAACUUUCCUUAUUUAUCUCAGGAGUUUCUAACGCUUUCAGAAGCAGAAGAGACAGAAUGUAUGAACAAUUUAAGUUUUCCAGCAGUUCUUGUCUUCCUGCAGAUACCCAUACAUUUCACUUUCAUGUAAAUACUGUACACUACAAUUACAAAACAUUUGAAAUAAUGUUUUAGUCAGAAGCACCCGUUACCUGGAAUUUCUAAGCUCAUCUUGAUCCCCAAGUCUUCUGGACAGCAUUUUCAAAGCUGGCAUAUAGACUGGCUCUUUUAAAUCCAUAUGCUACUAAAAGCUCUUUGCACCCAGCACCUUGUGCAGGGGCUUCUUGGUACUAAGAACUUUGAAAAAGUAGAUGCUUAUUUAGAAGCUUAAGUAUGGAACUGGGCAAGUAAGAUGAGAUAAUCAGUGUUUGUUUUUUUUUUUUUUAACUUCACUCUUGACAGUUUCAGAAUAUAUGAUAUGGAGGCAGAAAGCAUACGAUAAACCUAAGGUCAGCUAGUAGACUCGAACAAACACACCCAUUUUGAGGCUAGCAGAUGACUACUUCCAAAAAAACCUUCAAGUUGAUCACUUUUUUUUUGCUGCCCUGGUAAAGCUGGAACAAGCAGAUAUUUUUAAAAUGCAUGCAUACACAAGUUUUCACUGUGCAAGUGACAUGGACAAAUCUCAUGUUGCUUAGCAUGGAGAUUCUAUUCAGCUAACUCACAGUUUGUCAAUUAUAAACUUUAAUCAAUAGCAUUUUAACCUUAUAUGUGCACUUAGGAAUAAAGUCAAAUUAAACGGAUGUAAUACAAGUAAGGCUGGGAAACAUGCUCUAAAACAUUCUUCAGGGCACAAUCUGAACAUACAGUUAUGAGCUCCUAUUUUCACAGUGUGCAUAGGCCUCUUUAAGAGAAAAUGAGUCUCUCCCAAGAUGGCUUGCCAUUGCUACGCUCCCAACAUUUUCUCUCAGCACAGCCAAAGAAAAAUGCACAUCCCUCUUUGUCAACUUUGAGCUAACCCUACACUAGAGUAGCCAAAUAUAAGCAAGUUGCCAAAAGGAAGUAGAACUUGAAAAUACACUUCCCUUCCUUUUAGUAAUUCUAGAAGUCACUGUAAGCAUACAGUACUUCUAUCUUCAUGUUUUACUCCUAGAUAUUGGAGUCUAUGCAUCUACAGUGACUAACAAAAAAAUCAUCAUUAUCUGUGGACCCUCCAACAACUGCACAGAAAAACACUGUGUCCAAGGACCGGCUGGACAACCAGUACUCUGACAAGAACACUGCAGUAAUUGGUGGCAGAAUAUUUUCCUCAGAGCAAAGGAACUAUUGAAAUUUGCUUUGUUCUGGGGCCCCAGUAUCAAAUGAAUUUCCUGGGACAGUUUAUCUGUCUCUAACAUCAAAUUUGCACGGAGAUGUUCAGAAAGUUAAGGCAAAUCAACCAAAUGUUUAACUUCAAUAUGCACACGUUUAAUUGUCCUGAAGCUAUGAGUGGAUGCUCUAAUUCAACAGCAAAGCUCCCUGUAGCUCCUUAUUCAGUUAAGCUACAUUGGCCUAAGACUAAUUUACUCCUGAAUUAAAGCAGCUGGCUGAAGGGAGUGUUUAGAGGAACAACAAAUAUACAGAAUGCCUGAUGUUUCUUCUCCCCAGAAUAAUUCAUUCUUUUUAAACGAACUGUCAGAUCACCAUCUUUGGAGACCUCACAUCAUGUCACAGUCAUACCUACUGACACUUGGUUUCAUUCAUCACAAUUUUGGAAAUUGCAAUCAGAUUCUACCGCAUUCUACCAUUUAACAUCCCAAACCCUGUUACGUUACCCCAGCAAUUUCUGGAAAUUUAUUACAAUCUGUGAAUUCAAGCACAGAUAAAUUUUUUGAGCACCAAUAGAGCCAGGCACCACCAAGAGAAAGAAGUAGGUAGCACACAAUGCAGACACUGUAUGUUUUGAAAACAGAAUAUUUGAUCUCUUGGUGUCAGUUAAUAAAUAAAAUACCGCCAUACCUGAAGUGAUUCAUGCAGUGCCAUCAGGUAAGAACUUUUUAAUAUUUUGAUACCUUUUAUGACUCAAUAACAACAAUAAUAAGAAUGCAAAUGAAAGCAAAGCCCUCUGGACAGUACUUUCAGCGAUUUGCUGGGGAGAAGGACCCCUAGUGUCCAUCUGGAUUCCAGCCAGCCUCGCUCUGGUGGCUGCGCAGCAUCCAGGAUGAAAGAACAUCUUAGCUUGUAAAAUAUUUCCUGCAAGCACUUUCCUAUCUGACUUCUUUAGAAGGCAACUGAUUAAGCUGAAAAAUAAACAUAUAUGGUUCUUUUUUCUUAAACCAAUUAUUUCAAAAUAUUAUCAAGGUAUCAUGUGAUCAUCUGGACUCUGAGGAUUCAUCAUUACUGAUGAACGGGAAUGUGCCUUGGCACAAUAGUUUCGGUGGCUGAUUAUGCACUGCAGACACCUAUAGAUAAACAUCUCUAUUUGUAAAAAAUGAGCGCCGUCUCUGGGAGCAGUUUCUGAUGAGGCUUUAAAAGCAGCAUCAAAAAACACCCGUAACGCUAGAAGGAUGAGGGUGCCCAGCCCUGUCGCGUACUAGCAUUGCUUUCUAAGAGAGGGAAAAAAAAAUCUCCCAAUCUGCACUAUUCCUUACGAUCAGGAUUUUACCCGUUUAUUUGGCUAAUCAUUCAAAUGGCUGAACAGACCUCUAAUUUGAAAAUAAAAACCGAUUGAUGCAAUCACAAACAAGUUCUGAAAUUGUGAUUUAUAAAAAAAGAGGGGAAUCUUGUUCGAAGCCAAAACACACACACAGUUACCUUUUUCUAAUCACAGCAUUCAUUUCUCCUCAUUAUGAUCUCACAAGCACAUUAAAAUCUUAUUAACAUUAAUUACUUCUGAGCGUCUAUGCAUGAGCAGCGACAGGCUUGCGUGCGCGCGCGUGUGUGUAUGUGUGUGUGUCUCUGGAUCAUAUCUACAUUUAUAUACCUUGCUGCACUUUGCUUAUAAAACAUGUGAAAAUAUUGCUGCUAACACCAAUUAGCUAAUUUCACACACACAGAUAGUAAGCUGCUGUCUCGCUGCACAGCUUAUUAUAGACCAGCAGACAGAUGGACAGACAAACAGACACAAAAAGCAUCACAGCUCCUCCUAAACGCAAGAUCUGAAAUGCCUGGCACCCCCAGGAGUGCGAGUUUUAUCCUCGUAAGUCUGAGGGAACAAAAUGACACGAAUGGAAAAAAAAUAAGAAAAUACAAGACAGCCAAAUAUCCCAUUUUCUACACAGAUGGGUUCAAUGAUGAAGUGAUAGAGACAAAGAAAAAACUGGCAGGCAGACAAGCAGCAGGCGCACAGAGAGAUAGACGGAGACAGAUAAACAAAGCAACAGAGAAAGAGAUGAAAGCGUAUUAAUAUAUAUGUGAAUUCGGGCUAAGCAAUAUAAACUUUAUCCCAGCAAUAAGGUAAGGAAAGAAAUGGCAGAGCUAAGAGUCACAAUAGGUUCAACUUUGCAAGCAAAAUAAAAUCCCGACUCUCUGCAAAACUAUUUAUGGCUUCUAUUUAUACCGAGAACACUCCACACGGCACUGCCCCAAUGAUAUUCAGCACUGCCACCACGAACAAGAAUAAACACAGGCACCCAAACGGCAGCUGCUAUAGCACAGGACCUUCCACUUCCUUCCCACUCUUUGUUUCCAUCUUUCUUAGAUUCACCUCUGCCCUGAAUCCUACCCCUCAGUCAGGAGGUAAGGUACAAACACAGCAAGGUCCUUCAUCAUGACAAAGCCGUGUCUCCUCAUCGCCCAGGGAUCCUCCUCCCAACUGCAACCCUGGGCCGGCAUUCAAACUUCCACCUGCCCUCCUGUCACUCCAUUUUAGAGCUAGGGGGAACAGAGGGAUGAAGUACCUAGAUGAGUAACAAGGCCUAAAAAGUCAUUUUAUUUACAUUACUCACAUCUUCACUUCUUCCAGGCACACUAAGGUCAAUAUUUUUUAAUCAGGUACUGUUUAUAUUUAAAAAUCAGUGUUUGAAGAUUGCGCUAAGCAUGCUUGGCCUUUGUUUAUGGACAAUUGAUCUCACUCAUGACCUACUCCUAAUGACACUCAUCCAGUCAGACCCAAUCCUUUGUGAGUGCAGGAUUAGCAUGAAUGCAGCCAAGAAACUCUAGGUCAUGUAGGAUGCACUUGAACCAACCAAAUCAGUCCUGGUACAUUCACAGUAAAUUCAGUGAUUUUGAGAAGCUUUGGAGCUCCUGAGCAUGGACAUUACGUCUGUAUCACAUGAGAAACUUGGUGCAUCAUGACUGAAUUCUGCCCAGCUCCAUUUUGUUGUGCAUGCACAACAAGAUCACACAUCAGAGAAGAAGCCAGGGCAUAUGGCCCUUUCUGCCACAAGGAGCAGGUACAUGAUCUGCUCAGGCAGAAAAUAAGCAAGCAAAUUGAACGCUACUCCAUUUACUCAGCUUACUGUGCUGCUUUUGUUAAAGUCAAAUAUACAGAUGUCGAAAAAGAAGAUACAGAAAAGCAAAAGCUUUGGAAAAUAAGUAAAGAACAAAAAAAAUUUUGAAGCUGUGUAUAUUUUUUUUUUUCCCCCACAUGGCAAAGUGGGCAUUUGCAUACAUUUUUCCUGCAUUGCUCCUUUCCUGGUCUCUCCCCACAGAAUUAAACUGAGAACACUUUUGAGUAGACACAGAGCCUCACCCAUUCUGGUUAAUACUUUUUCAGCCAGAAAUGCAGCUCACACACCCAGGCUUCCCAAACAUCCAGGAGGAAUACCCCUGCCAAUCUUUCUUCAAGCUCCCAUGAUGCUUUGGCCUUGAUGAUCUCUAAGUAUGUUUGAAGCUUUGAAAAAACAGGAGAGACAAGGAGAACUUCCCCCUAAGCACGUCAGUUAAUCCCAUCGCAGUAGGAGGAAGGGCUACAAAAAGAUGAGUUCAAUAAAAUAGUUAAGAAAUAAGUAUCCAUUGGGUUUGCUGACUGAAUGUUUACAUAGCCAUUGCCUCUUUAAUGUACCUUUUCCCAAAACCCAUGUAGAUACAUACGGCUGAUAGCACCUCAAAGGAAAAAUAGAAUGCCAUAUAAAGCACUGCUUUGGAGUUCUGAAGAAUACACAUGCCCUAAUUAUAUAUAGCAAAAGUUUUAACUCAACAAAUUAGAGAAAGAAACAUACAAACACUAACAUAGAAGCUCAAUUAUGUAAGUAAACAUGUAACAGUGGAAAUGCUCAAUGAAGAAACAAAGUUGCUGGUUUUUAUUAAGACAGUAGCAAGCAGAGGCAAGCAUGUAACCUGCAGAAUUUCCCUACAUCUAACCAGAUCAAAGUGUCCUAAAAGAUAUGAGUAUUCAAAUGCAGUUGUCUUGAGGAAUGUCUCUCAUAGGACCAGUGCUUACAAACAGAGGCAAACAAAUCUCAGAGACCAUUCAAUCUAUAAAACGGGUCACUAUGCAUAAAUGAAAGGAUAGUAGGGAAAAAUCUCCAGGGAAAGAAAACAAACAAGGCAUUUAUUGGCUUCCCUGUACAAAGCAGCUUGAUCUGCCUCUUUUGAGUGGGAGUUCUCCCAGUAAACCUGGUCUCUUCAUCUCCUGGAUGAACUAUGCUGUAUCUACCAAAAGUCAUGGCAUGCUGAGACAACCUGAAAGUACUUAAGGAGUGCACUUUGCAUCCAGACCAGUCUCGAGAUCCAAAGCUCUUUGUGUCCUUCUGAAGAUUAAUAAGAGGAGGUUUUUGACUCUAUCCUGGCUUUUGUAAGCUUCUUGAGGAUUACUGAAAUUGGAGAUAGCAUAUUAAAAAGCUAGUUCAUCCAUUUCCUAGAAGGUACAUUCAUUCACUUUGCCCUUCAGUUCUUGAAACACGAGACAUGCCUGAGGAGUGUUCUUUGUUAGAGCAUCUCACAAGUAUAUCCAGUGAUGAUAAGUCCACAUGUGUCUGAUAAAGAAAAAACCUUACCAUGCAUUCCAGCCUCUUCUUCUGUAAACAUACCAAACUAGAUGAAUUUGGCUCUCAAAAGGAGAAAGCAUUAAUUCUGCUGGUGUACAGUUAAUAAGUAUACAGAUGCUAUACAGAGAAGUUAGGCUGGUAAGAUUACCACACUGGAAAAGAAAAUCAGAUAGAAAUGAAAGGUGCUCACCAGUGUUGCAGGCUCACAAAAACUCCAUGAGACGUCAUCUCCAGAAAGAGAUCCUUCCUUAGUGGCAGUCAGCCCUUAAAUGGGGUCUAGGAGAGGUGCAGCCUGGCUCCACCCCUUCUGGUCACACAGCUGAAUUGCCUUCACCUGUGCUCCUGUGACUCAGUGAUCACCUCAGGUGGUCAAUCAGAGGUUCAGGUCGUGAUUCAACAGUUCCCAUACAGCUGGCUAAUAAAACUUUCUGUUGCUGUCCUUCCAAUCAAUAAACAUUAAAAUUGGCAUUUGGGACAUGGGAAAGAAGGACAAAAUGAAAGCUUGUCUGCAAGUUUUCAAGAGUUCAGAUUUGAAUCUUAUUCUGAGGAAACAAAAAGUUAAAUGCAACUAUUUGCUGCACAGUUUCCAGGUUGAAUGGACAAACAGCUCUUUCCUUUCCCUCACAGAUGCCUCAGCAGUAAUAUAUCUGUGCUCUGCCCAAAUCCAGUAUUUGCAAGCUUCCAUUAUUACUUGCAUAUGCUACAUUUCCACUGACAGUUUAAACAGACAAGUAACAAUCCUCUUCAAAUAUGUGUGUCCAAAGAACCCUGAGGGGCUAUCUUCUCUUUUACUUACUGCAGCUCCCAUAGAGCUUACCAGCAGUGAUGCAGACAAGCAGCUACACACACAAGAAGCCCAGAACAUAACUGUUGGACAGUACUUUUGUCUUUAUUUGCAAUACGGAGCUUCAGCCUCCUUCUUACGACCAUUUCAUGAAGCCAGCAACAUCACUGUUUAUUUCAGCAAGGUAUAAUCUUCUCCAAUAAUUAUUAAUGCUCAAAUAGAGGUGACAGAUUGGUUCAUUGGUUUUCAAACACCUCUAUCUUGCGCAUAACUGGCUCAAAUCUAACUCUGUUCCUUACUGGGACAGGUCUCACUGUGGGAAAGCCAACUGGAACAGGAAAGUUACUUGUUGCUUACAAGACUUUGAAGUUAUAUUAACUGAGCUAACUGAGUGAUAAUAAAUAAUAAUACAAUAAGCAAACAAAAUAACAACAUAUAUAUUCUUUAAUUCCACUGUUAAAAGUAAGACUUUGUUGACAUGUGGGCACAUUAAAUGUGUUUGGACUCAAUUUUCAGUUACAGUAGGUCUUUUUAUCUCGCUCUGAAAGUACAAGACUUCUAUGGCAAAGCUCCAUAUGCAUUAUGAGACCACAGCGAUGUAGAAAAAAAUGUUAACAGUUUUGAUAUGGUCAAGACUCAUUUGAGCUUCCUUUGUCCAUGGAACAUGGUCUUUACUUUUCCAGGUCCUAUCUGCUUGUACAAUACACUGAGAAAGGAAGGAAGGCAUCACUUCCUCUUUCUCUCUGUGCCUCGAUUGUUCCUGAUUUUAAGAAAUGGAAAUGGUAACAUUGAUUCAGCUACUGGAGUUAAGCAAUACUAAACUAAUCACUUUUGUUGAACACUGUGAGAUAUUUUAAUAUGUUUCUUCAGAAACGUAAAGUGUUACUCAUCCUUAUCAGCAGCUAUAUGUGGCUAAGUUGUCCUGGAACAUUUUGUAGGCAUCCCCUUCCCCAUCUGAACUCAGAUGCUCACUGUUGGGAACUACCGGUGGCACUCUUUUACCUAAAAAGCCCAGGAAUGACUUAGACAGAAGUGGCACUUCUCUUCUUUGGGCAAUGAGAACAAAACAAAACAAAAAAUAAAAGAACAAUCACCUGAGGUUUUAGGAUUAAACUUCUGCAACAACAAAAUGAUCAACACAACAACAAAAAGGCAUCUUGUGGAUGUUAAAUUCUUUGCAGGCUUUGCCUGGGUAUGAUGAGAAUAAUCACCAACACCUGAAAGCAAGCCUUUUCAUCUGGUAAGAAUCUUUUUAAUACACCUGUGCACGCUGCCACAAGGAAAACAGUAUCUAAAACAGCAAAAAUGAGGUCAAAUUCAGCAGCGCUGUCCCAGAGAAAGCUUGUCUCCUGGCCACAAUCAUUUCUGGAGUACCAUGCAUCAUCUUUACUGCUUCAGAUGGAUGCCAGCUACAGACAGUAAGCUAGAAAUACCAAGCUAAAUUUGGCUCUCAGCUCACUGCUGAUCCUUCUAAUUUUUAUGCAAUUACUCCACUUUUACACAAACAUAACUUAAGGCAAAACAUGAACCAUAAACUUUUGAGCAGAUCCACAGAUGUUCAGAACUUUCACAUGGAACUCCUUAUCCCAAGAGCAUGGUCCUUUGAAGAUAACUGCUAUAUGAUGAUUAUUCCAGCUCACCGCUCCUUUGAGGGAGAAGGGAAGAGCCAUGGCCUCAUCCCACCCCACUCUGGUUCGGUUCAAACCAAAUCCCGUUGCUAACAUUUUCUCCCUUUCCUGCCAGUAGGACCAGGAUAGCCCCUCUUUUUUUCAUGAACUUCAGACUUUUUGUCCUCAUUUUCUUUGAGCAGCUCUGCCCCCUGCCUGUGUCUCAGUUUUUAUUUUUUAUUGCUCACAUUGUCCCAGCCCCCUCUCUAAAUGCUCUGCUUGUAUCCUUCUCCUAUAUAGAAGCCAACGUUCCAUAGUAACGUCACUCAACCAGAUUUCAAUAACUCUUGAAAGCAGCUUUCAGUCAGCAGUGCUCCUAAACAACCAGUCUCAACCAGGCAACUCCAGAAAUGUUCAUUUUAACUCAUGUCCUUUCUAUUUUCUUUCCCCCCCACACCCCCCCCAAAAAAAAACCAACCAAACAAACAAACAAAAAGCACCUGUGGCUGGUGGAUACAGAAGUGAUCUAGACAAGAUGGCUCUCACUCCACCACAGGAACAGCCAUACCUGGGCUGGCUCUGUUACUAGCAGCAGUUUGGUAAGGGCAAUCUAGGGCUGACUGCAGUGGAAAUACAUGGCUCACAACUCAUUCAAAAUUCACCUGAGAUCCUACAUGGUACAGUCUGCAUGGCCAGGGCUGAGCAGUUACUGCCAUCUCUACCAUUGAAGUAAAUGCUAAACUUGUCUCCAUGUGGAGAAAACUUCUCCAAAAAAAAAAAAAGAGAGAGAGAGAGUAGGACCUCAGGUGUCCAUUCUGCUUGAACAUGCCAGAGAACCUUCAGGUUGCCCAAGGAGGUUGUGGAUGCCCCAUCCCUGGAUACAUUCAAGGCCAGGCUGGAUGUGGCCCUGGGCAGCCUGGUCUAGUGGCUGGGGACCCUGCACAUAGCAGGGGGGUCGAAACUCAGUGAUCGUCAUGGCCCUUUUCAACCCAGGCCAUUCUACGAUUCUACAAGAAAGACUACAUGUUCAAAAACUUGACUGGCUAAGGAAACUCCCUUAAAGUAAAGAAAGAGGCUGCAAUGCACUUUCAUGGUGACAGAACAAAAAACAGAGAGGGAAAUAUUAUUGCAACGUUACAACUAGUUGAUAAAGCUGUGGCUACCGAUCUCCCAACUGCUCUCAGAAACAAAUAAAUGUCAUUAUUCCUAUCUUGAAGAUGUGGAACUGAGACACUGAGAAAUGAAGUGACUUGCUGUAAAUUAGAAAAGAAACUAUAGCCAAAAUAAGACUUCUGCAUCCAUCAUCGGUGGGUUAUCCUUUCUAGUACCUAUAUACUAUCAUACAUUGCUCCAGCUACUACACUGCAGUCUCAUUGCCACUUCUCAUACAGCUCCAUGCCUCUGUGCUGAAUAAAAUAUUCAACAUCUUUGUACAUAGGUUAAAAAACAGGCCUAAAAACUAUUAUGAAAUGCUUUGAACGGGAUCCUGUCCCCUGUAAAAAGGAACUCAGAGAUUAGCAGGAAAAAAAAGCCCUGCACCAGAGAAAAAGCCUGAGCUUUCUCUUGCCCAGCACAAAGUACAGCAAAGCCAAAUGUACUGCAGGAGCACAACUGGCUUUUAACCUCAUUCAGGAGCAGCUGCUUUCACAGCAGCGAAAUGUUUCAGGCUGAGCUCGACUGACUUAGUGGAUAAAUGAUUUGAAGUUGAUAUAGCUCAGAAAGGACCGACUCAUUUAGGAAACGUCAGUAUCUUAAAAACACACUUUUGCUAUCUGGCUGGAGCAGGUCUCGAAGCUUUCAGAACGUGGCCGUGGCUCUGAGAGGAAAAUAAAAGCAGCGUUUUUAUGAAAUGCUGGAAAUAACAAAACAGUGUUUGGGCUUCAAGCAGUUCGCCGUGAGUCAGCAGAGGCCGGGCCUUGGCUGAAAACGUGUAUUGGUCCUAAUCACGUCAUUAGCUUAGUACUAGCAAAAGGUGCCAGAUUGGUAGCCCCAGGCGCUGAAUUCUCUAUUUAUCCCCAAAGCAGGUACAGCAGGAGGCCAAGCCAUCUCCAUACCAACCCCUGCUAGGAUUCCUCAUGGCAAGGGACCUGGUGACAGGAGGGUGAGCUGCUCUCCGCGCUGCUCCGCUUUCCUGAUGUCUCUGCUGUGGCUGCCCACAUGGGGCCCAGCUCCCUGCUUUAUGUUGCUGGAGGAUGGGUUCCUAAACUGCAGGGUCUAUGAAAGGGAUAUAACAGAGAAUCAUCCCGUGUGCAGCCCAAGAGACACAGUGAGAAAGAAGAACGAGGGAUGAUUUUCUUUGUAUUCUAUUACGGCCAUCUCCAAAUGAAUGAAUACUGGGAAGACCGAUGAGGCCAGAGAGAGUCAGUGUUCUGAGUACAAAUGAGAUUUAUAUGUGGCUUGAGUCACUCCAGCCAAUUAGCUACCCACCAGGCUGUUUGGUUUAUCGUCCCUAUUGGGUAAGGAUUUAAUAAGCAGUCACCUAGAUGGGCAGCGGGAGACUCGCAGAGAGGAAACUUUUCACUAUUCUACAUGGAGAACUCGAGCCCAGUCCUGCUGCAACUCAGCACGGCCGACUCCCACCAACGUGCCAAUGGCUGCAAGAUGAGCUUCCUUCUCAUGACAGUCCUCAGGAGUGAAAAAUACGGGAAAUACAGGACAGUUUUUCACUAUAUAAUUACCGUGUCAGGAAUCUUCCACACAUCCCAAAUAUUCUAAUGGAAUUAAUAAAGCUUUCUCCAGCUUUUUCUCCAACACUCAGCCUUAUCCAGAACUUCAAAAUGUUGCGUAGUAUGAAAGUAUAAAACGCUGGAUUUUAGAAAGAGAUCUACUGGGGAAAACGCACUGUGCAGGGAACAUAUGAAACAAUUGGGUCUAUGUUUGGAAAAGAAAUACAGAUGCAUCACAACGAGGAAGGAUGUUCGAGAGCAUCCCGAAAAAACAGCCGCUAUUCACGCCAAAGGCCAGGAUGAAGUGGGCACGGCGGUACAGAGCUGACAGGCAGAUUUAACUGGGACAGAGAGAGUCGGAAGCAGCCAAAGCCUUAGCUGCACCCAGGGCUUCUUCAGACCCUACAUGCGGUGUAAUGGAACGAUAAAAGCACCAGCAAGAACGUAUUUAAAACUCCUUCAGAUGGGAAGAAUCCUAGAGGAAGCAGCAGCAAAAUGGAAAAUUCCAACUUUUGGGAAUGGUAGGAAAAAAAAUGCCUAUCAAAUAUAAGCGAGGCUGGAAACAAAGCAGAAGAAGCCUGAGUUGCUGGACUGAGAUUUCAUGACCGUGCUCAGUGUGUCAUGCCAAGUAUAUAAGGCUGUAGCACACGCUGUAAGAAGGCUUCUCCUGCUAAUACGGGAGAAGAAGAGAGCUCAAAGCCAUUCACUUACUUAACUCCAGUUUUUGCAGGGCACUGUCCUGGCGGGUGUGGCUGAGUCUCCUGGGAAUUGCAUUUGCUCGUUUUGGAGAGCCAGCAGAGGGAGCACAUUAGCAGUUAAACGUGGUUUUCUUGUGUCUGAACCUAAACAAUGAGUUUGGGGGGCCGUCAGCUUGUUUGGUUUUGUUUUAUUGUCGGCAUUCCUCUCUGUCACCAACGCCAGUGACUCACUUAGCUAUCAAAUUGCUAGGAGCCAAAGCCAUGGAGAACAGCCUCUACGUCCACCCUGCAUAAAAGCUUAGAGAAGCUUUACCUCUGUCUUUUUUCGCUCUUCCCCAUCUCAGCCUCCAUCUAAUCCGUUCCUGACUGCCUGAACGCAAAGUCCCACAUUGCCACAUAGCCAUGACUCCCAAAUUCCAGCACUGUGACCACCAGCUUUCUAGCCAGAGUAAACUGCAUAGGGAUCCCUGGGGAGGGAAGAGAAAUCAAUAAUUAACUUUCAGUUGGCUGAAAGGAAAACUCUGAAGUCCAUAAGGCAACUUUCCCAGCCUCACUUCUGUAUCUGCAAGAGAUGGAUCGUACUUUCAGCUGUCAGUGAUCAAAGAAGUAAGAUAUUAGAAAGUUGGUCUUUUGGUUGGGGAAAAAAAAAAAAAAUAGAAGAAGAAGAAGCCAGUACUUUCCAUGCUAUGUUUACCUCAGAAUCAAAUGGCACCAUGCUGCCUGAAUUUUUAGCUCCACCACAACCCCAAGAUAAAUUUACUACGGAAGCAUAACAUUAAGAGGUCAUCUACAGACGUGACUUACAGAAUGGCAAUACUUCUGUCCUGCCAAAUGUUCCCGACAGAUAGAGCACAGACGCUCUGCAAAGGGUGGCAUGCACUGCCCUGCCCCUUCAGGUUUCCUUUCCUCUUCACAGCAGCCAUGAAGGAUUUUUAAUGCAACUACAUACAAUGGCAAUAUUUGAGCUUGUAUCAAACUGGAGGAAGAAUGUGCUGGUUUGUGUUCAGCUUCUGUACUGCUGUUAGCACUCAUGCAAACUGGCAGGAGAAUGGGGUCUGUGCUCACUUCACAACUGCACAAGGAAAGGUGUAUGGCACGGCACGAAGCAUGAAGCACUGAAGACGCUGCCAGCGCUUGAAUUGGCAGAACUUGCCCCUUGUGGAAUGCCUCUUUUUGCUACGAGGCUUUGAGGAGCAGAACCGGGUUGCAGCGGAGCAAGCGAGGUCAACCUGCAGCCCUAGCAGCCCUAACACCUGCCUUCCCCGGGGCUGGUGGGGAAGGACCCCGGCUUGGCACCACCACAUUUCGCUCUUUGUGCUUGCACGCUCCGUGGCCUCUCUUUCCAUAGUGCCACCUAGUGCCGGCUCCGUUACUGGCUUGCCUUUUCCUACAGUGAGCAUCUGCCCCAUAGGGCAGGCUGCGGCCCGACGCGCCCGCCUCACCAAAGCCAAACCCCAGCCACCAUAGGAACAGCAUUUUUUUUCUAAGGGCAGCUCUAUCUAACCAGCCCAAUCCCUCGCUGCUGAAUUUUAACUGUUCAAGACACAGUGGCUGCUGUGUACGGGGCAGAAGCUGGGCUUGUUUCCUUCCCACCCUGCCGGAGAUGUGGGGCCACCAGCAGCGUCCCACCAGCUUCAUGUCCACCCCAGUGACCACUCCAGCAGGAGCAGCUCCCAGACUGAGCUGCCACCAGUAUGGACAGGCAAAAAGCCUUCACGGGACAUGGGGAAACUGGACAUCUGUGCCAUACAAAUGUGGAAACGUGGAGUGGAAGUAAGCAUUCCAAAAUGCCACUUACCUAUUAAAGAGGACUGGAUUGCUGCUGUCAAACUAACUGCUAACUUGUAAGAGAAGUAAUAACGAGGAACACAGGCAACGCUGUCAGAGCAAAAACUGUCCCAGAUGAAAGCUUUUGCCUUUAUUCACUCCUGUCUGAAAUUCUGACAAACUCAUGUAAAUCUGUUCAAGUUGAGACUGUGCAAACAUUACAACGAUACCUUCAAACUUGGUGCACAGUUAUGCACUGCUCUUUACCACGAGGAGCUGGGAUUAUUGGAAUGGCCAGCUGAAUAAAAAGCCAAUUUAUUUGCCAUAGCUGAUGCUGGCUGUUUACUUUCAGAAUUUUCAUGGGCCACCCUGAUGCGAUCAGUGAAGUCAGUUUCACUUUGAUUUGCCAUCCUUUUCUCUCUGCAGCAUGGACCAAACUGCCGACCAUACAGAGGGAACAAGUUAUUGUUUAAAACCAACUAUUUCCAGUGCAUUAUUCCAUUAAAAAAAAAAUCUUAAAAAACAUUGCAAAAGGGCUUGGGUUUUCUGAAAGUUUUGCUAAAGAAACAAACCAAACCAAACCAAACCAACAAAGUAACUUGAAGUUAAAUUUCAGUGUUUAAUUUGCCAUUAACAUUUACAAAUCCCUUUCAGGCGGAGCUCCUUACCGCACGGAUCACACUGUAAAAGGGCCCUAUAAAAUGGGACAGGAGUGAAACCAGCUCGGAUCUGUAAGGCCACAGCAUGCCAUCCAUUUCUGAACAGAAGUCCUAUUCAAGCCGUGCUGCUAAAGGCUCAUAUGGCCUGCAAAAACCAACGGGCUUCUCUUGAAAUGAUUUAAAUAACAAUUUAUCUAAGACUGUAAUCUUUCUUGUAUGGGAUUUGUAAGCCAUCCCACAGAAAUCUGUAGCGGGGGACACCGUUCCCUAUUUACAUCAAAGUUUUAUAUAAAUAAUAAUACAUUUUUUCUAAUUUUCUGCAGCUGUUUUCCCCUCUGAAUAAGCCGGGCCUAUGAAGAAAAUGUGAAAAUAGGAGAACCAUGAGCAAUAUUUACAAUAAUGAUAUAUCCAACUCAGGAAAUUGCUACAACUGCCUUUAUCAAAAUAAACAAACCCCGUAUUUUUUUCCUCCCGUAAGAGAAAAGCAAAAUCCUCCACUAUUAAAAUUAAUUUGGCUUGGUAUCUGUUUGGUAUUUGGAUCCGACCGCCUUAUUCCCCAUUUUUGGCCUCAUUUGGACAAAAAAAAAAAGAAAAAAAAAAAGAAAAACACAAACCCACAACAAACAGAGGCCCAAACCGACACACACACACACACACACACACACAGCCCCAGCUGCCUCGCUCUGUCUCACAGGAGCACACACGCAGCCCCGCUCCAAGCUGACUCUGGCCACGGGGCACGGUGAGGCACGAAACCACCGCCCCGGGGCACCAGCUCGGUGUGGGAGUGUUGGAUCACUGCCUGCUCGGCACCGCACAACUGCACACCCAGAGCCGGGCGGUUCCAGGGGCACCGGCCCUGCGGAUCACCCCAUCCCGGGGCUUGGGCUCGCUGGGUGCCAGCCCCAGCAUCGCACGCUGGUUCCAAGUUUACUGAAGCAUGCUGCAGCCUUUGCUGCUGUGCCCAGUUUGCAGAUGGACUUUGUGCCAUCAAAAGGGAGAAGGUUUUUUGGUUUUUUGUUCUGUUUUGUUUUGUUUUGUUUUAGAAUAUGCCAUUUCAAAGUAAAUUGAUUUCUUCUACUGAAAAAGUUUUUAGGAUUAAAGAGCCCUCGCUGCAUACAGAAAAACAUUUCUCCUAUUCCAACUCUUUCUGUGCUCAAAUGCCUCUUUCCUAGGCGUGUCCUAAAACGCAGAGGUAUGUCGCAGUCAUUCUAAAAGUUGUUUGAAACGUUAAGGUGAGGCUGGGCUUCUGCUAAAGGGUGAGACCCCCAGGGCCAGGAUCGCUGCCCUCCAGCGGGAUGCUGCCCACCUGCGCUGGCCCAGAAGAAGCACCAGGAGCUCAAAAGCACGGCCACCCCUCUGGGGGCAUCCCCAGAGAACCCACAGCCACCCUUCCCGGGGCUGCAUCAUCUGCCCCUCUGCAGGUGACCACAGCGCCUUUGGGACCCCACGUCCUAAAGCUGGAGGUCUGAGCUCCAGGAGGAGAGGCAGUGCGAAGCCAUGAGAGCACUGGAGGUCUGUCAACAAAGUAUUAAUGUAGAAGCCCGAGUGAAAAGCAGAAAAGAAAAGAAAAAAAAAAAAAAGAAAGAAAGAAAAGAAAAAAGCAAUCAAUGAAUGCCAUUCCCCAGCUAAGAGACGAGCCACCAAUUCUUGGCACAGCGAUAGAGAAAACCUUGAAAAGUUUCGCUCGGGUUCUGGAAUAAAGCUUUGGAUAAAAUGGAGCAAGUAGUUUGCGCGGUCGUCGUGCCAGUGAAUAGAUCUGCUGCUCUGGAUUUCAAUUAACUUAGUUUGUUCAGCGGGGAGGCACUUCAGCUGCAACCGGGGAGCUGCAAGUUAAAGGACAGCGAGAAAAACAGCGCAACAACAGCCAGAAAAACCUGUUGGCAGCAGAAGUUUGCACCGGCUGCAAGCAAAAUCAAAUCACAUCAAAUCAGGGGGUUUUAAAGAAAUCUUUUAAAGGCUUUGAAGGUUUCGGAGGAUCUCCGAGGCAGUCCCAGGUGAUCGUCGCUGUGGAGAGACCUCCACCGAUCAGCGUCCAUUUUACAUAAUUACUUCGGGUUCUCCAGAACAUUUUAUGUAACUCACUUCCACGGCUGCCUCUGCCCUUUCUCCUCUCUCUCCGUCACCGGCAGAGCAGCAGCUCAGCCCUCCGCCAGCACUGACAGGAGCUCACAUAAAAGGACCAUUUCGAAUGGAUCACUGGGAGCAGCCCCGAGAACCCACAGGAAACGUGGGCUCCGAAACUCGACAGUGCUCAGCGGGCGACGAAACGCAUCACACAUCCCUCCCCAGCUAAAUAUGUGUAUGCAUAUAUAUAAACAUAUACAUAUAAUAAGGAUUAAUUCGGAGGAAAGCUCCGAGGUUUGAAACGACAAAUAAGCAGGGAUAUUUGCGCGAGGAAAAAAAAAAAAGGUAAAUAAAUAGUUACUGGUGCUGGACAAAAUGGCUCGAUAGGUUUCAUAAUUUGCCACCGCUGUAAAAAAUAUCCCCUCCCUUCCCCCUGCCGUCCCCGCCGGCACGGACGGAAGCGCGGAGCGGAGGGUGGGGGGCAGCCGAGGAUACCAACUCCCUCCGCCAAAGUUUGGGUCCUUCCGAACCCGGCGAUGCCUCCAUAACGUGACAUCAGCUCCGAGAGACAAAAGUUGAGAUCUGCGUCUCCUUUCUGCCCGGGAAAGGAAACUGGAAAAAUACUAAUAAUGAAAAAUAGACGUUAAAAAUACCCGAGAGGAAAAAGUCGACGGACGAUCACCCGAAUUAACCCCCUCCGCCCCCGCAGGCAAACAGACAAACGACAAAACCUCCGGCUAAAGCCCCGUCGGGAGGAGUGGAACCUGCUUUCUCCGCUUUCUCUUUUCUGCUUUUAUUUAACGUAUGGCGAGCCUGGACUUCAAACUUAUAGCCGACACACGGCCACACAACAAAGAGUCCCCGUUCACCCCCGUCGCCGGCGCUGCGGGCAGAAGUCGUCGGCAAAUAGUAAUAAAAGCCAUUUAGCGGUGCAACGCAUCCAGCGCGCCGUGUUCCGCGAGCAGACAUAAAUCUCUCACGACGCUCUCCCAAACAGGCCAAGGGUAGUUCACAUAGAGGGCUGGCUUCGCACACGCUCACCCCGCUCCUCGUAUUCUUUGGAUGGAGGAAGGCUGGCAGCAAGGUGCACAGACAAAAGACCGGGGAGCCAACGCACGCAAUCACUCGCUGCUACAUCUUCACGUAUUUUUACAAUACGCUCUCCUAUCCACACCGCUUCCAAAAUAAUUUUCAGCCAGCCCUGCCUCUCGUCGCACGUAAACUUACGCCGUCACAGGAAUUCUGUUGACUCUCAUGAUGACAUAUGAAAGUGGCAAAACGAGGUUUUGCGCCCGGAUUUCGCCUUCAGACAAAGCUCCCCCAGCAACUUCAUCAGCAGGGAAUUAUAGUUUCACCCGGAGAAACUGGGUCCAAGGGAAAAAGAAAAUAAAAGUUAAGUGGUAUUGCCAUGGCUAUGCUAUGAAUCAUAGAUUCACAGAAUCACAGAGUCAUUGAAUCACAGAAGGGUUGGGUUGGAAGGGACCUGGAAGCCCAUCCGGCUCCAACCCUGUGCCGUGGGCAGGGCUGCCCCCCAGCAGCUCAGGCUGCUCAGGGCCCCAUCCAACCUGGCCUUGAGCACCUGUAGGGAUGUGGAAAAUCAGUGGACAAACAAACGAGGAUCCAAAUCUUUUGAUGUUGAAUGGAGAAUUUACCUCAAGUAACUCAGAGUCAACUAAAAGUUAAGCGUCCUGUCUGAAGCAGUCGCAUAGGCUCUCCGUGUUGUUGGUGGAGAGACAGGCACCUCCAAAAAGCCCUUCCGCCCAGCUCCCCGUGCCCCUAAAUGAGGAGGGAGCCUACAGAACACAAUGAGUGCCAGAUUUGGAGAGAGCCUGCUCACCGUCACCUCCUCUCAAGUACAUGAGCAGUUGGUGCUAAUGCACUUGGUUCACCUGCAAGAAGAGGAAAGACUCAGAGCCCUAAGAACAUGCUGAUCUUCAAGAGCAAAUGGGAAACAGGGAAAGUCAAACUCUUCCCCAGACCUGAUACGGCUGCGCAAGUUUUUGUUGCACAUGACAAGAUUCUGGAUGACAGACUGGGAGGGAAGGAAUGUGCUUCAGUGCCAAAUAA